GUUAUGAAGAAUGCCUGACAAGUGCUCACUCAAAUUUAGCAUUUUUCAAACGUGGAGAGAUAUACUGUAAACAGAGAUUUUAGAGAGAGAGAGAGAGGGCUUUUGGGUAGUAUUGAGAUAAAUUGCUUGUGGCUUUGGUAGUUCACUCUGAAUCAAUUGAUGAUUUCUCUGGGUUCGAAUCAAACGUUUAUAAUCUGCAAGGAUGCAGCCGGAAUCGCCGGGAAUAUCUUUGCUUUCGGGCUGUUUGUGUCGCCGAUACCCACAUUUAGGAGAAUCAUCAGAAAUCAGUCAACGGAACAGUUCUCAGGGUUGCCAUAUAUAUAUGCCCUCUUGAAUUGUUUGAUCUGUGCUUGGUACGGCACCCCUGUCGUAUCUACUGAUAAUAUAUUAGUUAUGACGGUCAAUUCGCUUGGUGCGGUUUUCCAAAUGACCUAUAUAAUUCUCUACAUAACAUAUGCUGAGAAAGCUAAAAAGCUGAGGAUGUUUGGAUUGCUGCUGGGCAUUUUUGGCCUAUUUGCAAUCAUAGUAGUUGGGAGUUUGCAAAUAAUUGACGGUGUCACUCGACGUGCCGUCAUUGGGUUUCUCAGUGGUGCUUCUCUCAUAUCAAUGUUUGCUUCCCCAUUGUUUAUAAUUAAUUUGGUGAUCCGAACAAAGAGUGUUGAAUUCAUGCCAUUUUGUCUUUCCCUUUCCACGUUCUUGAUGAGCACCUCUUUCUUCUUGUAUGGAUUUUUUAAUUCCGAUCCUUUUGUAUAUGUCCCAAAUGGGAUAGGAACUGUUCUGGGGAUUCUACAACUGGCUUUGUUCUCUUAUUAUAAAAAUGCAUCUAAAGAAGACUCCAGAGAACCGUUGUUAGUGUCAUACGGAUGAAUGGGUAUGCUCACCAAGUUAGCUUCAUAUGCCUACCAGUUGCCCUCUGCUUUGUUCAAUUCUUUUAUUGUUAUAUACUGAGGUUCCCUUACUUAUUUAGUGGAGAGUUCAGAAGCUGGGUGUAUCUACACAAGAUUAUGUUUUGUCCAAUUUUAUUAACUGGCAUAAUCUGUCUGACUGCUGAAAUUCUUUCCCAUAUAAACUGUUCUUUGUACCUUCUGUUUUAAUAAAUGGCAUUGCUUGGACUAUCUUUGUACCUUCUGAUUUCAAAUAGUAAUGACCUUAUUGAACUCUUCCAAACGUAACAACCUUUGUCGGAUAUGCUACACAUGAAUAUGGUUAUGGACAUAUGGGAUGUGUGUCCGACAUAUAUAGUGCUCCAACAACAUUUUCCAAAACUCUCUUAUAUUUCUUUUGUUACAUAAUUACUUUAAAAUAGACUAAAAUAUUCAUGUCGAACCCUCUAUACUAUAUAAAAGUAUCAUUUUGCCCUAAAAAAUGAAAGAAGAAUAUUUAAAAAAAUAUUAAUAAUUAGCCAUGUUUCUGUGUUUUGGAUUUAGGGAAUUGAUAAAUAUGAUGCUUGAACACAUAUAAACACCUAACACCGCAUCUAACAUAAAUUUUGGGUUUAAGAAUGCACUUGCCAGAGGCUUUCCCCGUACUAGUUGCCAAUUAUUCAUGUACUCAGUUGAAUGCAUCAGGUUCAUCUUUUUGUUUCCUGAUCUGGGUUACGAAUGACAUGCAAAUUGAAGUAAAAAAAAAUACCUGCCUGUUAAUUAUUUAAAAUCACGAAGAUUAACCAAAUGGAUUUUCUUUUCUAUAUUCCAAAUUAUGUUUUUUAGACUCUGGAUAUCCUUGCUUUUCUGGUAAUAGAGUUUAUUUGCAAUUGAUUUUCCAAUAUAUGUUUCAAAUCCUCUAUAAUUGAUUACUGUCACCAUAUUAUGAGACAUGUAUCACACAGAGGAAGAAAGUCUUGUUCCUGUAUGUCAAAUUCCUCUCCACAGGUCAAUGACUUGCCAUUCCAAGGAAAAAUGUGAGCAGGGAAAUCUGUUUCAGGCAUGUUUUACUAUAUAAUUGCAGAAAAGAACUGACCUACAGUCUACAACUCAAUAUCUUUUGAUGCACACAACUAAGCUCAACAAAAUCUUGUUCCAAUUAUUUGGGUUCGUCUGCGUGAAUCUUGUUUCGCCGUUAUACUGUAAGGCCAUUGCUUCUCAUGAAUCACAGCAAAUCUCUCAGACUUGUUCUCUUGACAGUAGCCAUAUUUUCCUAAACACAGCAGCACAGAAAGCAAGUUAGUUUGAGAAGUAUUUAUGGAUGAUCCAUUAGUAUGGGGUAGAACUGGCUUGUCAAUUUGGUUUGGGAAUCUUGCAAUAUGAAAAAGUUGAAUCUAGCCACAAAUGUCAUUGAAAAUUUCUUGCUCAUUAUGUACAUAAGGUGUUUAUAUGA